rnacentral:rRNA from 1 species
GGGAGGUAGUGACAAUAAAUAACAAUACGGGGCUCUUUAGGGUCUCGUAAUUGGAAUGAGUACAAUUUAAAUCCCUUAACGAGGAACAAUUGGAGGGCAAGUCUGGUGCCAGCAGCCGCGGUAAUUCCAGCUCCAAUAGCGUAUAUUAAAGUUGUUACAGUUAAAAAGCUCGUAGUUGAAUUUUGGGAUUGACGUGUGAUGGUCAUGCCUUAAGGGGUAUGAACUGUUGCUGUUGAUUUCUCACCUUCUGGAGAAACUUGAUGUCCUUAGUUUGGGUGUCUUGCGGAUCCAGGACCUUUACCUUGAAAAAAUUAGAGUGUUUAAAGCAGGCAUUUUUGCUCGAAUACAUUAGCAUGGAAUAAUAGAAUAGGACGGCAUGGUUCUAUUUUGUUGGUUUCUAGGAUCACCGUAAUGAUUAAUAGGGAUAGUUGGG